AGGACGAACGCUGGCGGCGUGCUUAACACAUGCAAGUCGAGCGGAAAGGCCCUUCGGGGUACUCGAGCGGCGAACGGGUGAGUAACACGUGAGUAAUCUGCCCCUAGCUCUGGGAUAGCUCCGGGAAACCGGGAUUAAUACCGGAUACGACCACUUUAGACAUCUGUUGUGGUGGAAAGAAUUUUGGCUAGGGAUGAGCUCGCGGCCUAUCAGCUUGUUGGUGGGGUAAUGGCCUACCAAGGCGACGACGGGUAGCCGGCCUGAGAGGGCGACCGGCCACACUGGGACUGAGACACGGCCCAGACUCCUACGGGAGGCAGCAGUGGGGAAUAUUGCGCAAUGGGCGGAAGCCUGACGCAGCGACGCCGCGUGGGGGAUGAAGGCCUUCGGGUUGUAAACCCUUUCACCAGGAGCGAAUCAAGACGGUACCUGGGGAAGAAGCGCCGGCUAACUACGCGCCAGCAGCCGC
rnacentral:rRNA from 1 species